UUUUUUUUUUUUCACGAAUUCCACAACAGAGACUAAUUAACAGAAAUAAAGAUACCAAUCCACACACACGAAGAAGACCAAGCAGAUGAAAAUCGAUUCACAUAAUAUGAUUUACAAGAACAAGAAAGAAAAAAAAAAAAACAGAGAAAUUCCAACCCCUGAAAGAGAUUAAAGAUUAAAUUUAGACAAUCGAAAAAAAAAAGACAAAAACCAAGCUCAUGUACACCGAUUCAGGCCGCGAAGAACCCUAACCCUAACAUCCGAACCGAUCAGCGGGUGGCUGCGGCGGCGGGGCGGGCGGAGGCGGGCGGAGGGAGGGGGCGGGGCGGGGAGGCGAAGGGGAGGCUUCUGAGCAUGAGGAAGCGCAUCCGGCGGGGGAAGGGAGCGUCGUGGAGGAGCUGCUCCAGCACCCUCGCCACCAGCGCCGUGUACUCCUGCAGCAGCUCGGCCACUAUCGCCACCAGUAUCAUCCUUCCUUCUUUCAAAACCCUAAUCCUCUUUCUCUCUUUGUCGAAGAUGGUAACAGAAAGCGAAAUUUCCUUUCCAAUACGAAGUUUGUGGCGGAAGUUAUUAGGGAUUCUUUUGGGGGCUUAUUGUUAUUUAUAGGGAUUCGAAGAAUAAAUAAGAGACAUUGAUUGAAGGGGAGGUAUAGGGUUUCGGUGGGCUCUGGGAUUGAGUGUGAGGGUCUGGAGCGGUUUGGCGGCCGCGGGAGUUUAGAAACAGGUCUAAUUGUUCGAUGGACUAGAUCCAGUGGACCACUCCAAUUAUCACUCCAAUUUACAAAAUCGUGAGCAUCUAGGAUUUCGAUUGGUCCGGUGGCCCUGGUUCAUGAAUAAUUUUUUAUGAGUCUAAAAAGGAGGGGCCACCGGUUACCGCCAAAACCGGUGAGGGUUAAAAUGCCAG
rnacentral:lncRNA from 1 species